CAGCCGCCGCGGGAAAACGUAGGUGGCAAGCGUUGUCCGGAAUUAUUGGGCGUAAAGCGCGCGCAGGCGGUUUCUUAAGUCUGAUGUGAAAGCCCCCGGCUUAACCGGGGGGGGUCAUUGGAAACUGGGAGACUUAGAGUGCAGAAGAGGAGAGUGGAAUUCCAUGUGUAGCGGUGAGAUGCGUAGAUAUAUGGAGGAACACCAGUGGCGAAGGCGACUCUCUGGUCUGUAACUGACGCUGAGGCGCGAAAGCGUGGGGAGCAAACAGGAUUAGAUACCCGUGUAGUCCCUGUCUCUUAUA
rnacentral:rRNA from 1 species